GACAGGGAGGAUUACAUGUGGCACACAGAUGAUCUACUUGGAUGUUUCCUGGUACUCUUGACCUAUUUUAACUAUGAACAAACAUGUGUAGCUACCCAGAACUGUGAAGGAUAUGAUUUUCAAGGGCUCAGAUAAUCAGAAAUGAAGGUUUGGGUCACAUCAGGAGGUAACUCACCCAGGUCUACUGAAGUGAUAGCUAAGAAUGUGGGGAAGGCAUUUAGAAUGAAGACUGGGGGAGGAUGAGGAGGAAGACUCGUUAUGGUCUUGAGGUCAAUUGCAAUGAUGAGGGUUGUUGUUCAUCCAUUAACUUCCCUCUUUUGAGUUUUCCCUCAGGAAGAAAGGCUCAUAGGAAAAGUGGAAGAGAAGCUGCCUGAACCUAAGUGGAAAAGUGGAUCCAUGUGGCACAAGGGGUGGAUUAUGAAAAUAAACCUCACAAAUCCCCUACUGUAAGGAGGGUAAUGGACCAAAGACCCAAGCUGGGGCACUCUGACAUCCAUAGCCCUGUUUAUACUGAGGCAUUGCCUCCCAUGGGCUGCUCCUAGCCAAUAACUCUGAGUGGCAAAAAUUCUAAAGCAAGCCUGUUCCAGAUGGUUCACCUUGGCUCAAGGACCACUGACACUCUUGCCAAACCUCUCCUAGACUGUAUAGGGGUCUAGCAUGUUUCCACCCAACCUUCCCUCCCACUCUCCUUCCGUUAGGGGCCAGCUUUGCAUAAAUAUCUGAUGGUUCUUCCAGCUUUCCCCAUCUCCCUCCCCAUUUUCUUUCAUAGAUACUUCUCCUAAUAAGACCUUUGCAUGCUUAAUCCCAUUUUGGUAAAAAGUGUCAAUAGUUCUGAAGUUGAGAAACUUUGGCUUACAGAGAUAAUAACAGCAGGAGCUGAGUAUCAAUAUUAGCUCAACUACUUUGUGAUUCCCUGGAGAUAGAGCUCCUGAGGAUUGGGCCAGAUGGCAGAUGCUGCACCAAGAAAAAUGAUAUUUCUGAGAAGCAGUUGGACUAAGAUUAACAGUAUUCUGCUUCCAAGGGGUUUGGUCAGAACUGACUUUCUCUGAGAAACCAUGGUCUUAACAACCCUUGUCCACUCUGGCUUCCCUCCUUCCUUCCUCCCUUUCUUCUUUCGUUGUUUCAUUCCUUAAUCCCCAUACCCCUUCUCUCUUCUCUUUCUUUUUCUCCCCUUCUCUCUUUUCUGGCCCCAGUGACUUUUUGUCUCUUGCCUUAAUAUUGUAUAGUUAGUAAAUGACAAUGAUUACUCAAUAGUUCCAUCAUGAAAACACAAUUCUCAUGCAAGCAGUUUACAAUGACUUUUAGUUUGAAAUUUCUCAUGGUUCGGUUUCGGAUAAAAGGUGAAUGUUCUUGGAAAGUUUGAACUUAAUCAGAAAAGUUAUUUUAGAAUUAUGAUCUUAGGGUAAUUGCUGGGCUUUUAGAUCUGGAAAUAUUUUCUUACCAGUUAUUGUCCACUGAUUGCAAGGAAAUUUGGGUUAAUAAAUUUAUCACUUAAUAAUUUUUUCCUCCUCUUCAGUUCUUACGCAUUUGCACAUAUUCAGUUUCACUUCUACGGUUAGCACUGCACCCCCAAAUUAAAGCCGAUUUUAGUCCAACGUCAGGUUCUAACUGGGUCAGGUUUGCUAAGAAUCAAGCCCACUUUUGUCAAUUCUUUUCAUAAAAUUGGUCUGGGUUUCAAGAACAUAAUGAAACCAGAAUGUGGGGGAGUUUAGAAUAUAGUCUGGUCUCAAUUCGUCUGCUCUUUGAAAACCACGGUCUGGUUUCAACCCAACUAAACUUGGAUAGUUUAAUUUAAAAAAAGUAGUGACUAGAAAAUCCCAUCAAUCCAUGGAGCACAAUAGCACUCUUCUAAGGACACUAAACCCAGAAGAAAAGGAAGCAUGGAAGUUUUCUUGUUAGGUUUGCCAAUAAAGUGAUAGAUAUUCUAAAAUAAUGUUUCAGAAUUUAUAAGUGAUAGCCUCUUCAGAAAGUGAUCUUGGGUAUGCAGUCAGCCCUAUUUAUGUCUCAUAUCUCUAUAUUGAUCAGUUUUCUUCAUCUGUGUUCCCAAAUGUCUUGCCUCACCUGCAGGCCCUGUUUUUCCUAACUGAAGUUUUAAGGGUUUUAAAAUUCUCAGUUCUUCACUGAAUGAGGCUUGCAUUAGUCACUAUCCAAGACUUAGAUCCAAUGAAGUUCUGACCAUGGGACUGUCACUUUGGAAAAUGGCCACUGGGCUCCUGCCAUACUCAGAUUUUCCCCAUGACACCUGAAGUCCAUGUUCAACUGAGAGUGAUCUGUUUGAAUGACCUGCAUGGAUUCUCUUAGAUGGGCAUGGAAGCUGGGCUCUAUGUAUGUGCCAGACAAAGACUGCAGACCCUGGGUUUUCAUUUCAGUGCAUUACUCUUACUGCCUUCAGCAGGCCCUGAUGUGCUCAUGUAAGUGCAAUUAUUCAGUUUCCUGCUCAUG